GGUGGGUUGGCUCAGUGGUUAGACUCAUUAGAGCGUAGGUCUCGUAACCGAAAGGUUGCGGGAUCGAAUCCCGCUAGAGGCUG
rnacentral:tRNA from 1 species